AAAAAAUGAGAAAUUUUGCUAGACUAUUGACAUAGAUUAAAGUUUUCUGGUAUUGCAUGCCUAUUGUGUUGUAGCCGAAGUGUUUGUAAAUGCUGAUGGCUCGUUUAAGGGAGAAAAUUGAGUUUAAAAGAUCCUGUGGCCCCUCCUGUUCAUCAUUGGUAUCAGUGCAACAGCCCAGGUGGCAGCCUGACCCUUCAGUGCAGCAGGCGGGAUCAGACGGUUAUAUCAAGAUUUCGAAGCGGUCACCUAAGAACUAUGUUGUUCAGUAAUGGUUCAAGAGUUUUCCCUGUUUGCACUAAGUGUAACGACCAACAAGCUACUCCUGAACAUAUAUUUCAAUGCCUAAAUAUCUCUAAAGUUGACCUCUUUUCAGAUCCACUUUUUGUUACAGACUUGCUCAGAGUCUCUGGAGUCAUGGACUUGGUUUAGCUCCGCUAACCGUGUGGGCCAGCAACAGAGUUUAAAAAUAAAUGUGUUGUCUCUUUA